GCUGUACUGUAGCCUAGUUGGUAAAGGCGUCGCUAGUACAGAUGGAGAAGGUUGCUAGUUCAAAUCUAGUCUGCGGUA